rnacentral:rRNA from 1 species
AUUGAACGCUGGCGGCAGGCCUAACACAUGCAAGUCGAGCGAGCGGCGGACGGGUGAGUAAUGUCGGGGAACCUGCCUGAUGGAGGGGGAUAACUACGGGAAACGGUAGCUAAUACCGCAUACAAUCAGAUGUGCCCAGAUGGGAUUAGCUAGUAGGUGGGGUAAUGGCUCACCUAGGCAACGAUCCCGAGCUGGUCUGAGAGGUUGACCGGCCACACUGGAAAUGAGACACGGUCCAGACUCCUACGGGAGGCAGCAGUGGGGAAUUUUGCACAAUGGACGAAAGCCUGACGGAGCCAUGCCGCGUGUGUGAAGAAGGCUUUGGGAUUGUAAAGCUCUGUCAGCGGUGAGGCGUUAUCCACAGAUGAAGCCACGGCUAACUACGUGCCAGCAGCCGCGGUAAUUC